rnacentral:tRNA from 1 species
AAAGAAAUAUUUAAAAAAAGCUUCUAACUUUUUUCUAAGCACUCUUAUGU